rnacentral:rRNA from 1 species
UGACAUGUACCGAAUUGAGCAGAGAUGUUCAAGUGCUCGAAAGAGAACGGUAACACAGGUGCUGCAUGGCUGUCGUCAGCUCGUGUCGUGAGAUGUUGGGUUAAGUCCCGCAACGAGCGCAACCCUUGCCAUUAAUUGCCAUCAUUUAGUUGGGCACUUUAAUGGGACUGCCGGUGACAAACCGGAGGAAGGUGGGGAUGACGUCAAGUCCUCAUGGCCCUUAUGGCCAGGGCUUCACACGUAAUACAAUGGUCGGUACAGAGGGUUGCCAACCCGCGAGGGGGAGCCAAUCCCAGAAAGCCGAUCGUAGUCCGGAUUGUAGUCUGCAACUCGACUGCAUGAAGUCGGAAUCGCUAGUAAUCGCGGAUCAGCAUGUCGCGGUGAAUACGUUCCCGGGCCUUGUACACACCGCCCGUCACACCAUGGGAGUGGGUUUUACCAGAAGUAGUUAGUCUAA